rnacentral:rRNA from 1 species
UCCUCGAGGGUUCUCCCUCGAGGUUGACAGAGCCUCAAAAGAAGCACGGGCUAAGUACGUGCCAGCAGCCGCGGUAACACGUACUGUGCGAACGUUAUUCGGAAUCACUGGGGCUUAAAGGGUGCGUAGGCGGCGAUUCAAGUCAGAUGUGAAAUGCCUGAGCUCAACUGAGGCAUUGCGUUUGAAACUGAAUUGCUAGAGUAUUUCAGGGGUGUGCGGAACUGCCAGUGGAGCGGUGAAAUGUGUUGAUAUUGGCAGGAACACCGGAGGCGAAAGCGGCACACUGGGGAAUAACUGACGCUGAGGCACGAAAGCCAGGGGAGCGAACGGGAUUAGAUACCCCGGUAGUCCUGGCUGUAAACGAUGAGCACUGGGCGGGAGGGGGUUUCCCUUUUCUGCCGUAGCGAAAGCGUUAAGUGCUCCGCCUGGGGAGUAUGGUCGCAAGGCUGUAAAACUCAAAGGAAUUGACGGGGGG